rnacentral:lncRNA from 1 species
UUAUAUUUCAUUAACUGUUAUCAUUUUUGUUCUCUUCCAUUAUGAUAGAAACGGAAGGUGGCACAUGGAACCACGGCUGUGGUCUCCAAAGGAAAGAAGGCCCGCCUUGAGGCACUUCAAACUCCAGCAAGGAUUGCCAAACCUUCGAAGCUGGUACCUCCCCCUCGACCUGUUCCAGAAGCUGCUGUACCAGCUACUCUGGAGGGCGUACCUCCUCCUCGACCUGUUCCAGAAGCUGCUGUGCCAGCCACUCUGGAGGGCAGCGUCUUUGUGCAUUCGAGCAAGGAAAUUUGCAUACAACAUGUAAUGAUUAAACACAUUCAGUGAAUAGAGUGCGGUUCUCUAUUCUUUUGAUAUUUUCUCUAAGUUCCCUUUAAGAAAGUGUAAUUUUGGGUUUCCAUUUCUCAAUUGUAAUGUACAUAUAAUUCUUACUAUGUCUUUGCAGUUUGCUCAACCGGAGGGGGAUGACAAGACUCUGUGUGUUGAUGAGUGGCCGUUUCUUCAAACAGAGUUUUGUGAGAAGGUGAACCAGCCAACUGCUCGGGUUGUCUCUGGACAGAGAAAACAAGAGGAGCCAACACCUUGGGGUCCAAAAGUUGUGAUGGCCCAGGCUGAUAAACCAACAGCCAAUGAGACCAGCUUCUUGGGGUGUUCAACCAAGGUAAUGACAACAAUAUAAAAAAUGAUUUGCAAAUAAGCAAUCAAUCUGUUCCAGGAUCAGUAUCUAGUAACAUUUACAUUAUUACUUCAUAAUUACAAUCAACAUAGUUUAACUGUUUUUAACAUGUUCUUGGUAAUAUCUACACACUAUGAAUUGGAAAUGUCAAGAAGGUUGGCUGAUGAACUUGUUGUGCUCAUUUUAAUUAUUUAAACUGAACUGAAAUAAAAGUUUUCUUUGUCCUUAAUUCUGUUCACCACAAUACACUAAAUGUCCCCUUUUCUAUGGCUAAUGAGUUUGCAUGUAGGGGUAAACCUCAAUUUUUUAACAUUCGUAAUGUUUGUGAUUGCAGAUGACACACAUUGAGGACCAUGAGCCGUUUGAAGCAGCACCUGAGGUCACUGCGAGCAGUCAGCAGGUAUGUAAUUACUAGUGGAAAAAUUGUAUACCAACGGGAAAAGCCACAGCUUAAGAGACCCAUUUUGUUUUGAUGUGUUUAUUCUUUUAAAACAUUGAUAUGGUGUAAGUGUGCAGUU